rnacentral:rRNA from 1 species
GAGGAAUAUUGGUCAAUGGGCGCGAGCCUGAACCAGCCAAGUAGCGUGAAGGAUGACUGCCCUAUGGGUUGUAAACUUCUUUUAUAAGGGAAUAAAGUGAGGCACGUGUGCCUUAUUGUAUGUACCUUAGGAAUAAGCAUCGGCUAACUCCGUGCCAGCAGCCGCGGUAAUACGGAGGAUGCAAGCGUUAUCCGGAUUUAUUGGGUUUAAAGGGAGCGUAGGCGGACUAUUAAGUCAGCUGUGAAAGUUUACGGCUCAACCGUGAAAUUGCAGUUGAAACUGGUCGUCUAGAGAGCAGUAAAGAUAGGCGGAAUUCGUGGUGUAGCGGUGACAUACUUAGAUAUCACGACGAACUCCAAUUGCGAAGGCAAAUCACUGGAGUGUAACUGACGCUGAUGCUAGAAAGAGUGGGUAUAAAAAA